rnacentral:rRNA from 1 species
UACAGAGGUCUCAAGCGUUGUUCGGAUUCAUUGGGCGUAAAGCGCGCGUAGGCGGCCCGAUAAGUCCGCUGUAAAAGUCCAGGGCUCAACCCUGGAAAGCCGGUGGAUACUGUCGGGCUAGAGUCCGGAAGAGGCGAGUGGAAUUCCUGGUGUAGCGGUGGAAUGCGCAGAUAUCAGGAGGAACACCAAUGGCGAAGGCAGCUCGCUGGGACGGUACUGACGCUAAGGCGCGAAAGCGUGGGGAGCGAACAGG